UGCCAGCAGCCGCGGUAAUACAGAGGGUGCGAGCGUUGUCCGGAAUCACUGGGCGUAAAGGGCGCGUAGGUGGCUUGGUAAGCGUGCGGUGAAAGCUCGGGGCUCAACCCCGAGUCGGCCGUGCGAACUGCCGAGCUAGAGCAUGGUAGAGGCAGGUGGAAUUCCGGGUGUAGCGGUGGAAUGCGUAGAGAUCCGGAAGAACACCGGUGGCGAAGGCGGCCUGCUGGGCCAUUGCUGACACUGAGGCGCGACAGCGUGGGGAGCAAACAGGAUUAGAUACCCUGGUAGUCCACGCCGUAAACGAUGGGCACUAGGUGCUUGGGGGAGCGACCCCCUGAGUGCCGGCGCUAACGCAUGAAGUGCCCCGCCUGGGGAGUACGGCCGCAAGGCUGAAACUCAAAGGAAUUGACGGGGGCCCGCACAAGU
rnacentral:rRNA from 1 species